rnacentral:rRNA from 1 species
UACGUAGGGGGCAAGCGUUGUCCGGAAUUAUUGGGCGUAAAGCGCGCGCAGGCGGCUUGUCGCGUCUGCUGUGAAAACUCGGGGCUUAACUCCGGGCCUGCAGUGGGUACGGGCAGACUAGAGUGCGGUAGGGGAGACUGGAAUUCCUGGUGUAGCGGUGAAAUGCGCAGAUAUCAGGAGGAACACCGGUGGCGAAGGCGGGUCUCUGGGCCGGAACUGACGCUGAGGAGCGAAAGCGUGGGGAGCGAACAGA